rnacentral:rRNA from 1 species
GGUGACGAUCCAAAAAAUUGAAGGGUUUGAUUCUGGCUCAGAAUGAACGUUGGCGGCGUGGAUUAGGCAUGCAAGUCGAGCGAGAACCGUAGCAAUACGGGGACAGCGGCGAAAGGGACAGUAAUGUGUAGGUACCU